UACGUAGGGUGCAAGCGUUGUCCGGAAUUAUUGGGCGUAAAGAGCUCGUAGGCGGUCUGUCGCGUCUGCUGUGAAAACUCAGGGCUUAACCCUGAGCUUGCAGUGGGUACGGGCAGACUAGAGUGCGGUAGGGGAGACUGGAAUUCCUGGUGUAGCGGUGAAAUGCGCAGAUAUCAGGAGGAACACCGGUGGCGAAGGCGGGUCUCUGGGCAACAACUGACGCUGGAGGUGCGAAAGCGUGGGGAGCAAACAGG
rnacentral:rRNA from 1 species